ensembl:snoRNA LOC120103317 small nucleolar RNA SNORA17
CCUGCUCCUAGAGGCAUUGCGGGUGUGGCUGUUGUGCACGUGUGAGUCAGUAGGUGGAGGAGAAGCUAUUGCUUUGCUCAGUGUUCUGACUUAUGAACAUCUGAAUGAUUAGUAAUCUAACCUC